rnacentral:rRNA from 1 species
GCGUUGCUCGGAAUCACUGGGCGUAAAGCGCACGUAGGCGGCUUUUUAAGUCAGGGGGGAAAUCCUGGAGCUCAACUCCAGAACUGCCUUUGAUACUGAGAAGCUUGAGUCCGGGAGAGGUGAGUGGAACUGCGAGUGUAGAGGUGAAAUUCGUAGAUAUUCGCAAGAACACCAGUGGCGAAGGCGGCUCACUGGCCCGGUACUGACGCUGAGGUGCGAAAGCGUGGGGAGCAAACAGG